rnacentral:rRNA from 1 species
UACGUAGGGGGCAAGCGUUGUCCGGAUUUAUUGGGCGUAAAGAGCGUGUAGGCGGCUAGAUAGGUCCGUUGUGAAAACUCGAGGCUCAACCUCGAGACGUCGAUGGAAACCAUCUAGCUAGAGUCCGGAAGAGGAGAGUGGAAUUCCUGGUGUAGCGGUGAAAUGCGCAGAUAUCAGGAAGAACACCCGUGGCGAAGGCGGUUCUCUGGGACGGUACUGACGCUGAGACGCGAAAGCGUGGGGAGCGAACAGG